CCUACGGGAGGCAGCAGUGGGGGAUAUUGCACAAUGGGGGAAACCCUGAUGCAGCGACGCCGCGUGUGGGAAGACGGUCCUCUGGAUUGUAAACCACUGUCCCCAGGGACGACGAUGACGGUACCUGGGGAGGAAGCUCCGGCUAACUACGUGCCAGCAGCCGCGGUAAUACGUAGGGAGCGAGCGUUGUCCGGAAUUACUGGGGGAAAAGGGAGCGUAGGCGGGACUGAAAGUUGGGUGUCAAAUCUACCGGCUCAACCGGUAGCCGCACUCGAAACUGCAGUUCUUGAGUGAAGUAGAGGCAGGCGGAAUUCCUAGUGUAGCGGUGAAAUGCGUAGAUAUUAGGAGGAACACCAGUGGCGAAGGCGGCCUGCUGGGCUUUUACUGACGCUGAGGCUCGAAAGUGUGGGGAGCAAACAGGAUUAGAUACCCGUGUAGUC
rnacentral:rRNA from 1 species